UACGUAGGUGACAAGCGUUGUCCCGGAUUUACUGGGCGUAAAGAGCGCGCAGGCGGUCGAUCAAGUCGAGUGUGAAAGCCCCCGGCUCAACUGGGGAGGGUCAUUCGAUACUGAUCGACUCGAAGGCAGGAGAGGGUAGUGGAAUUCCCGGUGUAGUGGUGAAAUGCGUAGAUAUCGGGAGGAACACCAGUGGCGAAGGCGACUACCUGGCCUGUUCUUGACGCUGAGGCGCGAAAGCUAGGGGAGCAAACGGGG
rnacentral:rRNA from 1 species